rnacentral:rRNA from 1 species
UACGUAGGGGGCUAGCGUUGUCCGGAAUCUUUGGGCGUAAAGCGCGUGUAGGCGGGCCGGUAAGUCCGCUGUGAAAGUCGGGGGCUCAACCCUCGAAAGCCGGUGGAUACUGUCGGGCUCGAGUACGGAAGAGGCGAGUGGAAUUCCUGGUGUAGCGGUGAAAUGCGCAGAUAUCAGGAGGAACACCAAUUGCGAAGGCAGCUCGCUGGGACGUUACUGACGCUGAGACGCGAAAGCGUGGGGAGCAAACAGG